AGCCAUGCAUGUCUCAGUGCAAGCCGAAGUAAGGUGAAACCGCGAAUGGCUCAUUAAAUCAGUUAUGGUUCAUUGGGCAUACACAGUUACAUGGAUAACUGUGGUAAUUCUAGAGCUAAUACAUGCAAUCUGAGUCUCGACCAGCAAUGGAAGGGACGCUUUUAUUAGAUCAAAACCAAUCGGCCGCGGGCCGUGGCUUCGGCUCACGCCCCGGCCGUUUGCUUUGGUGACUCUGGAUAACUUUAUGCCGAUCGCACGGUCUUCGCGCCGGCGACGAUCCCUUCAAAUGUCUGCCUUAUCAACUGACGAUGGUAGGCUCCUUGCCUACCAUGGUUGUAACGGGUGACGGGGAAUCAGGGUUCGAUUCCGGAGAGGGAGCCUGAGAAACGGCUACCACAUCCAAGGAAGGCAGCAGGCGCGCAAAUUACCCACUUCCGGCACGGGGAGGUAGUGACGAAAAAUAACGAUACGGGACUCAUCCGAGGCCCCGUAAUCGGAAUGAGAACACUUUAAAUACUUUAACAAGUAUCCAUUGGAGGGCAAGUCUGGUGCCAGCAG
rnacentral:rRNA from 1 species